rnacentral:rRNA from 1 species
CGGCGAUUUCCGAAUGGGGAAACCCAGUGUGAUUCGUCACACUAUCAUUAACUGAAUCCAUAGGUUAAUGAGGCGAACCGGGGGAACUGAAACAUCUAAGUACCCCGAGGAAAAGAAAUCAACCGAGAUUCCCCCAGUAGCGGCGAGCGAACGGGGAGCAGCCCAGAGCCUGAAUCAGUGUGUGUGUUAGUGGAAGCGUCUGGAAAGGCGCGCGAUACAGGGUGACAGCCCCGUACACAAAAAUGCACAUACUGUGAGCUCGAUGAGUAGGGCGGGACACGUGGUAUCCUGUCUGAAUAUGGGGGGACCAUCCUCCAAGGCUAAAUACUCCUGACUGACCGAUAGUGAACCAGUACCGUGAGGGAAAGGCGAA